UGCAAGUUCGAACGGGGGAAGCUCGGCUUCCCCAGUGGCGCACGGGUGAGUCACGCGUAACUUGACCUCCCCCAAAGUCCGGAAUAACCUCCCGAAAGGGAAGCUAAUACUCGGAUCGUGCAGUCUGGUCUUCGUCCAGCCUGUAAAGAUUUAUCGCUUUGGGAUGGGGUUGCGUUCCAUCAGCUAGUUGGUGGGGUAAAGGCCUACCAAGGCGACGACGGAUAGCCGGCCUGAGAGGGUGGCCGGCCACAGGGGCACUGAGACACGGGUCCCACUCCUACGGGAGGCAGCAGUUAGGAAUCUUCCACAAUGGGCGAAAGCCUGAUGGAGCGACGCCGCGUGAGGGAUGAAGGUUUUCGGAUCGUAAACCUCUGAAUCAGGGACGAAAGACACUUUAUGUGGGAUGACGGUACCUGAGUAAUAGCACCGGCUAACUCCGUGCCAGCAGCCGCGGUAAUACGGAGGGUGCAAGCGUUACCCGGAAUCACUGGGCGUAAAGGGCGUGUAGGCGGAUCAGUAAGUCUGGUUUUAAAGACUGCGGCUCAACCGCAGGGAUGGACUGGAUACUGUUGAUCUUGACCUCUGGAGAGGAAACCGGAAUUCCUGGUGUAGCGGUGGAAUGCGUAGAUACCAGGAGGAGCACCAAUGGCGAAGGCAGGUUUCUGGACAGAAGGUGACGCUGAGGCGCGAAAGUGUGGGGGAGCGAACCGGAUUAGAUACCCGGGUAGUCCACACCCUAAACGAUGUACGUUGG
rnacentral:rRNA from 1 species